GUGCCAGCCGCCGCGGUAAUACGUAGGUGGCAAGCGUUAUCCGGAAUUAUUGGGCGUAAAGCGCGCGUAGGCGGUUUUUUAAGUCUGAUGUGAAAGCCCACGGCUCAACCGUGGAGGGUCAUUGGAAACUGGAAGACUUGAGUGCAGAAGAGGAAAGUGGAAUUCCAUGUGUAGCGGUGAAAUGCGCAGAGAUAUGGAGGAACACCAGUGGCGAAGGCGACUUUCUGGUCUGUAACUGACGCUGAUGUGCGAAAGCGUGGGGAUCA
rnacentral:rRNA from 1 species